CGCGGAAGUAAGGGAUGGAAGAGGUGGGAACAUAUAUUGGGCACGUCUGCGUUGAUCGUUGAUGAGAUAAAGGCACUGCGGAGGGACUACAGCAGCAUGCAGCAGCGACAAGUAAACUAUGCACUGGAGACAGACCAAGACAGUCGCAGAGUCUGAUAAAUGGGCGCCUAUCGACAGCACGGCUUCAGAACUGCUCAUUCAACUGAUACGGCGCUGCUCACUAUGACUGACCGCAUACUUGAGGCGAUGGACAACCGGCAGGUGGCGCUGCUGCUGUGCUUGUUAGACAAGUCAAAGGCUUUCGACGUGAUCCCACACAACCGUCUGCUGAACAAACUCUCUCUGUACAAUGUCGAUGUGCGCUGGUUUCAGAGUUAUUUGUCAGACCACUAUCAACAAGUACUCAUUACCGGCACGCUAGCUGGAGUCCGCACGCUGUCGCAGCCGCUGCUGAACCCAAUAGGCACAUUCCAGGGAUCCGCGCUGGGCCCUCUGCUGUACUCGAUAUACGCCGCAGAUAUGCCCCUGUACCUCGAUGUAGACACCGUGCAUGACAAGUGCCUCGUGCAGUACGCCGACGAUGUGCAGCUGGCUGUGUUCGGCAAGCCUCGGGACAGUGCAGUGGUGCGCUGGUUCGCAGUCUGGAGCAGAAUCUUUCGGCCCUUUCACUGUGGUGCGGGAAGAACGGGAUAAAAAUUAACGCAAACAAAACACAGCUGAUAGUUAUUGGAACAUGUCAAAAUCUCCGUAAGAUGCCUCACACUCAAGUACAGUUUAUGGGCACGACGAUUCUCGGCUCCCGUUCAGUCAAAAACCUUGGCGUAGUUUUUGACUAGAAUAUCACAUUCUCGGUGCAUGUAGAUGACGUUGUGCGACGUUGUACCGGCCUACUCAGCGGACUGAGUCACAGCAGGCACGCGCUCCCACGAGACACGCUCUCCACUGUUGUGCAGGCGCUCGUUGUCUCGUUGGUACGGUACUGCAUCAGUGUGUACGGUGUAUGUGGUAGCACACAAAUGGUACGACUGCAGAAACUGCUGAAUUACGGUGCGUGUGUUAUUUCGGGCCGUCGCAAGUUCGAUCAUAUCAGUGACGUGCUGAAAGACCUGGAGUGGCUGACAGUGAAGAAUCUGCAUCAGUACCAUUCGCUGACCCUGUUAAAGCGAAUUUUAGCCAAUGGCCAGCCGGAUACAUUGUACGGUAGUCUGGUGACUCGAGGCGAUGUUCACGGCCGAGUAACCAGACAGGCGGACCAGCUAGACAGGCCCACGAUACACACGGAUCCGGGGAGCAGACGCUUCCUGCACUCAGCUGUCACUGCGUAUAACGCGCUACCGCAGGCGCUCCGUGAGAUGGGGCCCAGACUCUUCCCACGGAACCUCCGUAAACACCUGCUCGAGCGUCAAAACGGCGGUGAAUAGGUGUCGGAUUGUAUGUAGAUGUGUGCAUGAGUGUCUGUUCCCAGUUCCCAUCGAUUAUUUUUGACGCGCGAAUCAUAAUAGCCAUGUGUUCAUGGAUGAUUGCAAGAUGUUAAUACAUACAUACAUGCAUGUGUCUCAAUGCAAUAUGUUACCGCUCUCAAUAUACUCUGGCCAUCUGAUCUACGUGACAUAAUGUAUUGCUUCAAGCGCGUACCGAUGAACUAUGAACGUUUCCCGGGCAAGAUGAGCCUGCUAACUGAAGUGCGGGUUGUUUGGUGUUAUGUGAAUGUGUACGGGUUGAGUUCUACGAGCAUCAACAGCCCUCGUCUCACUGCGUGGUAGGUUUUCUUUCUUUUUUCGACAAGAUCGAUGAUAACUCUUAAGGCUAUGUUCUAAGUCAAUCGGAAUUCACAACACAGAGACGCGCGGUGCUCCAAUCAUUCUAUUGGAUCUAGCAUUCAGCAAGUUAUUAGCCCAGUACGAAAUAAAAUACAAGUUUGUUUUUGGUACAACUAUACACUUUUGUGUAUCGCCGCCAAGCUGGGUAGGAAAUGUAUACGAUGAUGAACACAACGACACAACAAGGUGUUGAGCGAGCAUCGCACAUCUCGGUGUUAUGUUUUCCAAGUGUUAUGGAGAAAACCUAUGCACUAGACGAGCCCUGUGUGUACAUUCGUUUCUCAGUUCGGGUACGAAAUGACCACUGUUUGCAUGGAAUGUGCCUUAUGUUGUGAAGCAAUUGCACCAAUAAAUAAAGAAGAUUCAAUCAAG
rnacentral:lncRNA from 1 species